ensembl:lncRNA
GAGAGAGAGAGAGAGAGAGAGAGAGAGAGAGAGAGAGAGACAGAGACAGAGAGAGAGAGAGAGAGAGAGAGAGAGAGAGAGAGAGAGAGAGGGAUAGAGAGAGAGAGAGAGAGAGAGAGAGAGAGAGAGAGAGAGAGAGAGAGAGAGAGAGAGAGGGAGAGAGAGACAGAGAGAGAGGGAUAGAGACAGAGAGAGGGAGAGAGAGACAGAGAGAGAGGGAUAGAGAGAGAGAGAGAGAGAGAGAGAGAGAGAGAGAGGGAGAGAGAGAGAGAGAGAGAGAGAGAGAGAGAGAGAGAGAGAGAGAGAGCUCAUCACCAUUUGACACGCUAGUUCCACUAAACAGUCUUCACUAUGGCACAUUGACAACCUUUUCCCCUUUAGUGGGUUUCAAACGGAGCGGUUUAACUGACUCUGAAUAACUGCCAAGCAGGCAGGGAACAAAGGAAGGAAGAACAUAACAAGGUCUCGUUGUUCUGUACGAACUGGCAUCCCGGCUGUACGAUACAUCCUGGGCCUGUAUGUCUCAAGAGUCUCAGAGAUAAAGAGCACUGAUCUUGAAUCAGUUUUAUACAUUAUAAUGAUUAAGAUUAUACGGGCCAAAGGGAGAACUGAUCGUAGAUCAGCAACACCUACUCCGAGAGGCUUUGUGAAUACGGGCCUUGGUCCCUACUGUAGGAGAGUUCCUGUCCCUAGACAUUAACGUUGAGAGCUGCACUGUUGGUUAAAGGGGAGCUUGUAGGUAAGGUCUACACUGUUGGUUAAAGGGGAGCUUGUAGGUAAGGUCUACACUGUUGGUUAAAGGGGAGCUUGUAGGUAAGGUCUACACUGUUGGUUAAAGGGGAGCUUGUAGGUAAGGUCUACACUGUUGGUUAAAGGGGGCUUGUAGGUAAGGUCUACACUGUUGGUUAAAGGGGGGGCUUGUAGGUAAGGUCUACACUGUUGGUUAAAGGGGGGCUUGUAGGUAAGGUCUACACUGUUGGUUAAAGGGGGGCUUGUAGGUAAGCGUUUCACGGUGAGGUCUACAUGUUGUAUUCGACUCGUGACAAAUAAAGUUUGAUUUGAUUUCAAGACGUCGGAGAGCUUUUAUCAAUGACUACGUUUUGGUUUGCACUGGCAGGACAUGAACAAACUCAGACAUAAAAUAAAUACAAAUCAAUCAAAAAUAACACGUUUUAAGGAAACAAAUCACAGAUGUUUUGGGCCCAUUUCUUGAGGAUUCAUUUUCUGUCACAUUGGCCACAGAGGCCAGUUGUUCCUGACCAUGUGACCUGAACCGGCCAGUAAAAUCACCUGGUCCUACAGUACUGUACUGGUUACAGACAUAAACCAAUCACCUGGUCCUACAGUACUGCAGGGUUACAGACAUAAACCAAUCACCUGGUACUACAGUACUGCAGGGUUACAGACAUAAACCAAUCACCUGGUCUUAUAGUAUUGUACUGGUUACAGACAUAAACCAGUCACCUGGUACUACAAUACUGUACUGGUUAUAUACAUAAACCAAUCACCUGGUCCUACAGUACUGCAGGGUUACAGACAUAAACCAAUCACCUGGUCCUACAGUACUGUACUGGUUAUAGACAUAAACCAAUCACCUGGUACUAUAGUACUGUACUGGUUACAGACAUAAACCAAUCACCUGGUACUACAGUACUGCAGGGUUACAGACAUAAACCAAUCACCUGGUACUACAGUACUGCAGGGUUACAUACAUAAACCAAUCACCUGGUCUUAUAGUACUGUACUGGUUACAGACACAAACCAGUCACCUGGUACUACAGUACUGCAGGGUUACAGACAUAAACCACUCACCUGGUACUACAGUACUGCAGGGUUACAGACAUAAACCAAUCACCUGGUCUUAUAGUACUGUACUGGUUACAGACAUAAACCAGUCACCUGGUACUACAGUACUGUACUGGUUAUAUACAUAAACCAAUCACCUGGUCCUACAGUACUGUACUGGUCACAGACAUAAACCAAUCACCUGGUCCUACAGUACUGCAGGGUUACAGACAUAAACCAAUCACCUGGUCCUACAGUACUGUACUG